CACUUAUGGGGCAGCCCCCUGUUUACUGCCGCCCCUUUUCUCUGCCCCACAGAUUCGGACGAGGCGGAGGCACCUCAGGAUUCGGUGCUGCAGGAACUGCGGGAGCGGCGGCGGAAGCUGCGGGCAGUGCUGAGGUUUUUGGACGCCGUGGCGCCGCUUCCGCCCCCCCGGAUCCUUUGGGACCCGCAGUAAAAAAUUCCGCCCCUU